AUUGGGGCACCUUUGGCUUGUGCAGGUCUCAGCAGUACAGUGAUGGUGGUGGCAGUUUCAUUCAGAGAGGCAUCAACGCCUUCAUAGUCAGAUGUCCGAAUGAAGUGCCCUUGACCUCAGGAGACGAGAGGAAAGGCUUGCUAAGCUACACGAGAACACAAUAUAGAACUGAAUGUCUGGAAUGUGUUAUGGCCAAGCCAGGACCACGAGCCUUCCAGAUUCUGCAUUCCUCACUGGCUUACCUGAGAUAUUUGUGGUCACGUUGAUGGCUGUGGCUGGCCCGAAGCCUUUGACGGUGCUGGCUCUUAUGAAGAACUGGGAACAUGGCAAGUUCUAGCAACACUUAGCAGCACAGUGAACUUCACACAUGACAUUAUCCAGAAAUGCCGUUUCAAAGUACAGAGCAAUUUCAUGAGGAUUGAAAUAAAUUAAAAAUCACUGGAUCAAAGGAAAUGUAUUUCUUCAUGGCUAGCAGCAGCAAGAAAUUCUGACGAUAUGUCACCAGACUAAGAUUUAUUUCAUUCUACAAGGAGACUAUGAAUGAUGUUUUGACCUCUGGGGCAGGCAACAUGAGGUGGCACAUAAAAGAAAGAAACCCACAGGGGGAAAAGGGAAAGAAAUCCACAGUAAACAGAGAGCACAGCAGCCCUGAGCUUCAGUCAUGGCCAUGAUUCCACGAGCAUCCCUUACCCUGCUCCAAGGUGUCAGCAAAGGCUACUCUGCCCAUUGCAGCUGAGAUCCUGACAAACAUUCCCAACAUUCUGUGCGAUUUCUGGCAGUGCCAAGGCUGCCAGGGACACUGGUUUGCUGUGCAAGGAGAUGUAUGUAUAUUUGUGGAAUCUGUUUGUGAUCACAGUCAGGGGGGUGCCUCUCUUCUUCCCGUGUUUGCCAGGGCGCUUGGCAGAUGGACAGGCAAGAAUGAAAAGUGAGAACUGGUAUCAACAUUUCUGUGUCUACAGAACUCAAUUGGGCCUAUAAAUUCUACGAGACGGAAUGAAGGCAUUUCAAAUUGUUCUUAUCUAGGAGUGGUUUAAACUAGUUGCAUAAUUCUGCAUUGAAAGAUGGACAGGCAUGAAAAUUUGCUUCCCUACAACGCUGACAUUGUCAUCCCUUUUCACGCAUGUUCUACUUUGACACAAGUCUGCUUACAGCAUUUCCAGGUUCUGUUUUCAAGAUGAAAAACGGGGGAGAAUAGCAAGCCCAAGGUAUGCCACACAUGUGAUCAUGACUUGGACCAAUAAGUACUCCAAACUUUAUACACACACACACACACACACACACACACACACACACUCACACACACACACACGAAGAAGGUGAGGAUGAGGUAUGGGUAUAGACCAUAUAUAUAUGUCUGUGUAUAUAAUAUAUAUAUGUAUAUAUGUAUAUAUAUGUAUAUACACACACGUGUUUACAUAAGGAAGGAGAGGAUGAGGUAUGGGUACAGACUAUAUAUAUGUCUGUAUGUAAAUAUAUAUGUAUAUAUAUGCAUAAAGAUGGUAAGGAUGAAGUAUGGUUACAGACCUUAUGUGUGUGUGUGUGUACAUAUAUACAUAAGGACAGUGAAGGUA
rnacentral:lncRNA from 1 species